CUACGGGGUGCACCAGUGGGGAAUAUUGCACAAUGGGCGCAAGCCUGAUGCAGCCAUGCCGCGUGUAUGAAGAAGGCCUUCGGGUCGUAAAGUACUUUCAGCGGGGAGGAAGGGAGUAAAGUUAAUACCUUUGCUCAUUGACGUUACCCGCAGAAGAAGCACCGGCUAACUCCGUGCCAGCAGCCGCGGUAAUACGGAGGGUGCAAGCGUUGAUCGGAAUUACUGGGCGUAAAGCGCACGCAGGCGGUUUGUUAAGUCAGAUGUGAAAGCCCCGGGCUCAACCUGGGAACUGCAUCUGAUACUGGCAAGCUUGAGUGUCGUAGAGGGGGGUAGAAUUCCAGGUGUAGCGGUGAAAUGCGUAGAGAUCUGGAGGAAUACCGGUGGCGAAGGCGGCCCCCUGGACGAAGACUGACGCUCAGGUGCGAAAGCGUGGGGAGCAAACAGGAUUAGAUACCCCCGUAGUC
rnacentral:rRNA from 1 species